rnacentral:rRNA from 1 species
UACGUAGGGUGCAAGCGUUAAUCGGAAUUACUGGGCGUAAAGCGUGCGCAGGCGGUUUUGUAAGUCUGUCGUGAAAGCCCCGGGCUCAACCUGGGAAUUGCGAUGGAGACUGCAAGGCUUGAAUCUGGCAGAGGGGGGUAGAAUUCCACGUGUAGCAGUGAAAUGCGUAGAGAUGUGGAGGAACACCGAUGGCGAAGGCAGCCCCCUUGGUCAAGAUUGACGCUCAUGCACGAAAGCGUGGGGAGCAAACAGG